CCUACGGGUGGCAGCAGUGAGGAAUAUUGGUCAAUGGGCGCGAGCCUGAACCAGCGAAGUAGCGUGAAGGAUGACUGCCCUACGGGUUGUAAACUUCUUUUAUAAAGGAAUAAAGUGAGGCACGUGUGCCUUUUUCUCUGUCCUUCAUGAUUAAGGCACCGGCAACUCCGCGCCAGCAGCCGCGGUAAUACGGAGGAUCCGAGCGUUAUCCGGAUUUAUUGGGUUUAAAGGGAGCGUAGAUGGGUUGUUAAGUCAGUUGUGAAAGUUUGCGGCUCAACCGUAAAAUUGCAAUUGAUACUGGCAGUCUUGAGUACAGUUGAGGUAGGCGGAAUUCGUGGUGUAGCGGUGAAAUGCGUAGAUAUCACGAAGAACUCCGAUGGCGAAGGCAGCUUACUAAACUGCCACUGACAUUGAGGCUCGAAAGUGUGGGUAUCAAACAGGAUUAGAUACCCUUGUAGUC
rnacentral:rRNA from 1 species